UAACACCGGCGGCUCGAGUGGUAACCGUUAUUAUUGGGUCUAAAGGGUCUGUAGCCGGCCGGAUAAGUCUCUUGAGAAAUCCAGCAGCUCAACUGUUGGGCUUUCAGGAGAUACUGUCUGGCUCGAGGCCGGGAGAGGUGAGAGGUACUUCAGGGGUAGGGGUGAAAUCUUGUAAUCCUUGAAGGACCACCAGUGGCGAAGGCGUCUCACCAGAACGGACCUGACGGCAAGGGACGAAAGCUAGGGGCACGAACCGGAUUAGAUACCCGGGUAGUCCUAGCCGUAAACGAUACUCGCUAGGUGUCGGCCACGGUGCGACCGUUGUCGGUGCCGUAGGGAAGCCGUGAAGCGAGCCACCUGGGAAGUACGGCCGCAAGGCUGAAACUUAAAUGAAUUGACGG
rnacentral:rRNA from 1 species